rnacentral:rRNA from 1 species
CAGUCGAACGCUUCUUUUUCCCCGGAGCUUGCUCCACCGGAAAAAGAAGAGUGGCGAACGGGUGAGUAACACGUGGGUAACCUGCCCAUCAGAAGGGGAUAACACUUGGAAACAGGUGCUAAUACCGUAUAACAAUCAAAACCGCAUGGUUUUGAUUUGAAAGGCGCUUUCGGGUGUCGCUGAUGGAUGGACCCGCGGUGCAUUAGCUAGUUGGUGAGGUAACGGCUCACCAAGGCCACGAUGCAUAGCCGACCUGAGAGGGUGAUCGGCCACAUUGGGACUGAGACACGGCCCAAACUCCUACGGGAGGCAGCAGUAGGGAAUCUUCGGCAAUGGACGAAAGUCUGACCGAGCAACGCCGCGUGAGUGAAGAAGGUUUUCGGAUCGUAAAACUCUGUUGUUAGAGAAGAACAAGGAUGAGAGUAACUGUUCAUCCCUUGACGGUAUCUAACCAGAAAGCCACGGCUAACUACGUGCCAGCAGCCGCGGUAAUACGUAGGUGGCAAGCGUUGUCCGGAUUUAUUGGGCGUAAAGCGAGCGCAGGCGGUUUCUUAAGUCUGAUGUGAAAGCCCCCGGCUCAACCGGGGAGGGUCAUUGGAAACUGGGAGACUUGAGUGCAGAAGAGGAGAGUGGAAUUCCAUGUGUAGCGGUGAAAUGCGUAGAUAUAUGGAGGAACACCAGUGGCGAAGGCGGCUCUCUGGUCUGUAACUGACGCUGAGGCUCGAAAGCGUGGGGAGCAAACAGGAUUAGAUACCCUGGUAGUCCACGCCGUAAACGAUGAGUGCUAAGUGUUGGAGGGUUUCCGCCCUUCAGUGCUGCAGCUAACGCAUUAAGCACUCCGCCUGGGGAGUACGACCGCAAGGUUGAAACUCAAAGGAAUUGACGGGGGCCCGCACAAGCGGUGGAGCAUGUGGUUUAAUUCGAAGCAACGCGAAGAACCUUACCAGGUCUUGACAUCCUUUGACCACUCUAGAGAUAGAGCUUCCCCUUCGGGGGCAAAGUGACAGGUGGGUGCAUGGUUGUCGUCAGCUCGUGUCGUGAGAUGUUGGGUUAAGUCCCGCAACGAGCGCAACCCUUAUUGUUAGUUGCC